rnacentral:ncRNA from 2 species
CACUCUGGAGAGUGGCGGCAAGGCAUGAGCCGAACCCGCCCGCCGAAGGGAUAACGAUCUCAGGCACCGGGACAGAGGG